UACGGAGGGUGCAAGCGUUAUCCGGAUUUACUGGGUUUAAAGGGUGCGUAGGCGGGCUUUUAAGUCAGCGGUGAAAGCUUCGAGCUUAACUCGGAAAUUGCCGUUGAUACUAUUAGUCUUGAAUUAAGUUGAGGUGGGCGGAAUGUGUCAUGUAGCGGUGAAAUGCUUAGAUAUGACACAGAACACCGAUUGCGAAGGCAGCUCGCUAAACUUAUAUUGACGCUGAGGCACGAAAGCGUGGGGAUCAAAC
rnacentral:rRNA from 1 species